AAUUCCUUGUCGGGUAAGUUCCGACCUGCACGAAUGGCGUAACGACUUCCCCGCUGUCUCCAACAUCGACUCAGCGAAAUUGAAUUGCCUGUCAAGAUGCAGGCUUCCCGCGGUUAGACGGAAAGACCCCGUGCACCUUUACUACAGCUUCACACUGGCAUCAGGCACAACAUGUGCAGGAUAGGUGGUAGACUUCGAAGCAGGGACGCCAGUUCCUGUGGAGUCAUCCUUGAGAUACCACCCUUGUUCUGCUUGAUGUCUAACCGCGAUCCCUUAUCGGGUUCCGGGACCCUGUGUGGCGGGUAGUUUGACUGGGGCGGUCGCCUCCUAAAGAGUAACGGAGGCGCGCGAUGGUAGGCUCAGGCUGGUCGGACAUCAGCUUAAGAGUGCAAUGGCAAAAGCCUGCCUGACUGCGAGACUGACAAGUCGAGCAGAGACGAAAGUCGGUCAUAGUGAUCCGGUGGUCCCGCGUGGAAGGGCCAUCGCUCAACGGAUAAAAGGUACGCCGGGGA
rnacentral:rRNA from 1 species